UACGUAGGUGGCAAGCGUUGUCCGGAAUUAUUGGGCGUAAAGCGCGCGCAGGCGGUCUUUUAAGUCUGAUGUGAAAGCCCACGGCUCAACCGUGGAGGGUCAUUGGAAACUGGGGGACUUGAGUGCAGAAGAGGAAAGUGGAAUUCCAAGUGUAGCGGUGAAAUGCGUAGAUAUUGGGAGGAACACCAGUGGCGAAGGCGGCUCACUGGACCGGAACUGACGCUGAGGCGCGAAAGCGUGGGGAGCAAACGGG
rnacentral:rRNA from 1 species